GUCUACGGCCCUUCCACCCUGAACGUGCCCGAUCUCCUCUGAUCUCAGAAGCUAAGCAGGGUGGGACCUGGUAAGCCCUUGGAUGGGAGACA
rnacentral:rRNA from 1 species